UACGUAGGGUGCAAGCGUUGUCCGGAAUUAUUGGGCGUAAAGAGCUCGUAGGCGGUUUGUCGCGUCUGCUGUGAAAUCCCGAGGCUCAACUUCGGGUCUGCAGUGGGUACGGGCAGGCUAGAGUGCGGUAGGGGAGAAUGGAAUUCCUGGUGUAGCGGUGGAAUGCGCAGAUAUCAGGAGGAACACCGAUGGCGAAGGCAGUGCUCUGGGCCGUAACUGACGCUGAGGAGCGAAAGCGUGGGGAGCGAACAGG
rnacentral:rRNA from 1 species